rnacentral:rRNA from 1 species
CCUACGGGUGGCUGCAGUGGGGAAUAUUGCGCAAUGGGCGGAAGCCUGACGCAGCGACGCCGCGUGGGGGAUGACGGCCUUCGGGUUGUAAACCUCUUUCGCCAGGGACGAAGCCUUGUGGGUGAUACUGCGGGUGACGGUACCUGGAUAAGAAGCACCGGCCAACUACGUGCCAGCAGCCGCGGUAACACGUAGGGUGCGAGCGUUGUCCGGAAUUAUUGGGCGUAAAGAGCUCGUAGGCGGUGUGUCGCGUCGGCCGUGAAAACCUGUGGCUU